rnacentral:lncRNA from 1 species
GCAGACAAGGCUAAUGACCCGGGGGACUUAAUCACUUCAGACAGACACGCAUUUUAUAAGCUCCAGCCACUGUUUAGCCUGUAACAGUGCCGUCUGGAUGUAAGGAGCAGACGUCCGAAGGCAGAAAGAAACGUGGCCACGUAAAUGUACUUACAGUAACGUGGUGAAUAGAAAAGAAUGAGAUAUUAUGGUCGUAUGGACCACGAAAAAUUAGGACGCCUAUAUCUGUAAAUCUGGUAGCCUAAUUCCAAUGGUCUCCGACUCUGAAAAACAGGGACGUACACCAUCUUUUGGACUGAAGCAACAUUCAUCAGACGUACACAUCAACAUCACGUAAAAGCAAAUAAUUCUCAUUGUUAAACGUGUUGUCUGGGGAAUAGAAACUGUCCAGAAAAGGCGCGGACUGUUCGCUCAGACGCAUUCGGGCCGUGUUGUGAACUUGACCUCUCCCUAGACGUCCUCAGCAGUCAAAAGGAGCCCUCGGGCUGACGCCCCCGUCACUCGUCCCCCCUGCACUCAGUGUUAUGGCCGUGUGGCGGCCGUGAGAUUUAUGGCACAUUGUUUUUCUGAGAGUGUGUGCGCGUCCCUGCAGGCACGUCUACCGUCAUGUCUUCACCUGCAACAUCCUAUCAUUAGAGCUGUCACCGAGCUGUCUCAGUGCAGCUCUGCACGAGUCCCGACACACACACACACACACACACACACACACCUCGAGGCCAAAACAUCCUGUUCGCAAAUUUGGCCGCCACUGCUCCCGUCAACCAUCGUACAAUAUGAAAAUAGAUUUUUUUUUUUUUGUCCGAAUUCAGAAACAGACACAUUCCAGCGGUCAUGAGGCUGGAUUAUGCAGAUUAUUGCAAGAUUAGCGAGCUCGGAAGUGGUCCGAUGGAACAGCCAACCAGGGAAGCAAGCCAUGGGGCCAGAGGACAACUGCAGCUUUAUGGUACAACUUGUGCAACUUCUCUGUAACAGCCAAGGUCCCAUCAGGAACAGCCAUUUCCAGCUACCAGAGCCAUUCCCAACUUUAAUGUCUGUACUGGAAUUUUCAUCCAUCCAGCGUUGGACAAAACAACUGUUUUUAAAAGACCCUAAAGUUUUAAACGACAAUGGACAUAGAAUGGAUGGGAUAAGUGAUAUUGUCUCCAGUAAAUGAUGUGUAAUAAAUGAUGGAGGGAUAUUUUCUGGUCA